AUACAGAAUAAACAAAACCAGGAAGGUAGCAGGCGCCACCAUCUGAGUCAACUUAACCCUGCACCUCAGACCCACAAGGAGUAACAGCCCCCCUGGCCCUCAGCACAGGUUCAGGCAGAACCAAGAUCUACAGUCACAAGGGGCAUAACGUAAGCUGCCCACAGAGGUCACAUCUCCCUCUGCCCCUCCAGAGCUCAGGGAAGAAGGGACUAUCUUGGGCAGAGUGGAGCUAUUCAGUUCAGAGCCCCGUUUAUGACUGGAAAGAACCUCUAACCAAGAGCAAAGGCUGGAACAAAAGAAAGCAAGGCCAUCCCUCGUCACAAGCUCCUGGAGUUAGCAGCUGAUCUGUUUCUCCCUUUCAGAGGGGUCCUCACUGCAGAGAAAACUCUGAAAUAGCUGUGGAGUAGUAAGGUGUCUCAGGUACACUUCCCAAUACUCUAGGGCUGGGGGCUAGGGAAGGGGAGACCAGGUCAACCUCAGAACUGCUAUGGUGAAAGCACCUGCUGCUUUUCAAAAGGGCCCUUGGAAGCCAGGAACAGAAGUGCCCUGUCACUGCAGCAUGAGGCUCUGGGCUGGAAAGGGCCUCCAGUAGGUGUGGCCCUUGUUCUGGGCCUCACCCUGCACGUGGCCCUGGCUUCUCAAACACCAGCACCUGCCUGAAACAGGAAAUGCCCCCAGCCACGAUCCUUCAGAGAAGGCCACUGCCCCAGCCUCCCCCACCAGCUCCGGGCUCCUCACAGUUGUGGCCUCUGCCUCCACAGGCUAACCGGGACUCCAUGCACCAGGCUGUGUUCUACCUGCUCUGAAAGAAUCUCACUUCGCUCUCAAGUCCAGAGGCCGGAGACAGCCAUGCUCCGAAUUCAGCAGAUGAUCUCCUCAAAGCAGAGAAGAUACACAGCUUCCACAAAGUCACUCUGCUUGGGAAGAGCAGAGAUGCCUAGAAGUUUCGGCACUCAGUGCUCUAAUCCUGUUCAACAGCCUGACUUGAUAGUUUUGAUGCCUAGAGUCUGACUGAUGAUGUCAUGGAAGGGCUCUCCCACAAGGGUCCAGCUAAUGGUGGUACCUCAGCUGUGGCAGCUCCCUGAGGCUGGCUUACUGGGACAACUUCGAGACAGUCUUCAAAGGGGCCUGCCCUACUGACACCCAGAGUUCAAAGAAAGUCUCGUAUCGCAAGUGUUCAACCUUGCGCUUGCGCAUAGUGACAGCAACGCAGCCGACUGGUAUUUCUGCUACUUUGGAUUAGCCCAAGCCAGCACUGAGCGCGGAUGCAGGAGGAAUCACAGAUGGUUUUCUUCUGUCUGUCUCAGCAUUUUGCACAAGGUGUUACACACAGUGGGUGCUCUACAGUCUUAUGCCAGAGCCCCUGUAGCAAGAUCCUGAACUGAGCAAGCUUGGCUUCGUGAUUUUCGGGGGUGCUCUUGGGAAAACUGGAGGGGCUGUGGGGCAGCAGAGCAGGAAGAAAGGGAGUUGUAGAGGAUGGUUCUGACUGGUUCGUGGCGACCUUGGGAUGGAAAUUGUGUCCCUUGUUUGUCCCCACUCCAAGCAAAGGAGAAGGAACCUAGGAGACCUGCAGCCCAGCCUGGGAGAGAUGCACUUCCAAGACUGUCCACUAUGCGGCAGUAGCUGAGUAGUCUGAAGGGCAUUCCGCUGGGAAGGCAAAGGACUACCAAGAAUGGAUAGAAACACAAAGAGGCGUGCGGAGAUCGCUGCCCUCCAGAAUGUUAGCUCUACCUCUGAAUGCAGAAGCUCGGUGUGACUUCCCGCGUGCUCAGGAAAGAGGAUGGGGACGCUAAGUAAGGGGGAGCUCCUGUAACUUACACUGAAGAAUGCCGGUCAGAGCCAGGAGACCCACGAAGCAGCCAGUCUCCGCCAGGAUUUCACAAGCGCUAGAGCGACUGAGUUUGUCUUAGGAGCCCUGCUGUGUGUCUACCGUGAAGCUAAAUCUUCCCAAAAUCCACUCAUCUAACUCUCCCACGGCUCGGUGUAGAGGAGGAGACAGGGGCGUGAGUGGGGACCUGCUUUGCUUAAGGGCAAAGACGAUGUUGGAUUAGUCCUCCGAAGAUGUAAAUUAAAACCGCGGUGAGUGGGCUGGGUAUGAACAUGCUUUUAUUCCAGUACUUGAGAGACAAAGCCUGGUGGAUCUUUGAGUGCAAAGCCUGCCUGGUCUCUAUAGUCAGUUUCAGGCCAGCCAGGGGUACAUGGUUAAACCCUGUCUCAAAAUAAAACAAACAAACAAAAUAAAAUAAAGCCUCCGUAAGGGGUGAUAAAAAUGGCUCAGUGGCUAAAAGCAUGUCCUACCUCUUGCAAAGGACCCAAGUUUGAUUCCCGUGCCCAUAUCAGGUGGUUCACAACUCCCAGAGGUUCUGGUACCCUCUUCUGGCCUCCCAGGGCACCUGCACGUAUGUGCAUUUAUCCAUACACAGAUAUAGAACUAAAAAUAAAACAGCUCUAAAUGCACAUGCAUAGAGUGAGAUGCCAUUCACAAGGGCUAGGAUGGCUGUAAUGAAAACCCAAUUUAAGGGAGUGGAGCCAGGUGUGGUGGCACACACCUUUAAUCCCAGCACUUGGGAGGCAAAGGCAGGGAGAUCUCUCUGAGUUUAGGGGAAGGGGGAAAAGGGAGGAGGAGGAGGAGAAACAAACGAGCAAAAAAGGGCACAGAAAGCACCUCCCUUCUGGUUCCCUGGUACAUGAAGUGGCCAUUAGAGGAAAUCUCCAGAGACAGUGGAGCACUGGGGAGAGAUAGAAGCUGACUUAGACAGAAGUGAGGCUUGGAGCGGUGUGGCAACGACUCCACACACCAGCACACAUGUGUGAACUGCCACUCAACUCUACGUUUUGAAAAUAGUUAAACAGCAUGUUUUGUGUAGAUUUUACAAGGUUUUGGGUUGGUUUGGUUUGGGUUUUUUUUGCAAUAUAUUUGUGAGCUGGGAGGUGGUGGCGCACGCCUUUAAUCCCAGCAUUAGGUAGGCAGAUCUCUGAGUUCGAGGCCAGCCUGGUCUACAAAGUGAGUUCCAGGACAGCCAGGGCUAUACAGAGAAACCCUGUCUCAGAGGGGGAAAAAUGUAUUUGUGUGUAUGUGUGAGUGCUUUGCCUACAUGUAUGUAUGUACACCUCAGGUAUGCCUAGAGACGGUGGAGGCUGGAAGACAAUGCUGUAAACUGCCACUUUGGGUCCUCUGCGGAAAGCAACCAGUACUUUUUUUUUUUUUUAAUUCAAUUUACAUCCCAAUCAUUGUCCCUCCUCCCAGUCACUCCCUCCCCCAAUCCUUUUCCCAUCCCCCCCUCAUUCCCCUCUGAGAGGAUGGAUGCCCCCCUGCCCUCCCCAUAUGCCCUACCCAUCCUCUCCCACUGAUGCCAGACAAGGCAGCCCAGCUAGAAGAACAUAUUCCACAGUACAGGCAGCAGCUUUAGGGAUGUUUAGGGGAUCCAGCUGUUCAGGACCCACAUGAAGACCAAGCUGCACAUCUGCAUGGGGAGGCCUAGGUUCAGCCCGUGGUUGUUCUUUGGUUCCGAUUCUGGGAGCUCCCAAGGGUCCAGGUUAGUUGGCUCCGCUGGUCUUCCUGUGGAGUUCCUAUCCCCUUCCGGGCCCUCAAUCCCUCCUGUUCUUCCAUAAGAGUUCCCAAGCUCCAUCCACUGUUAGGCUGUGAACAUCUGCAUCUGUCUGAGUCAGCUUCUGGGUGCAGCCUCUCAGAGGACAUCCAUGCUAGGCUCCUGUCUGCAAAGCAGCCAGCAUUCUUAACCAUUUGAGGGAAGCAGAAUUGAGCAAAAAGUCUGCCAAUGCCACGCUGCCAAGGAGACGGAGCUCAGGCUGUUUUUACAUAUUCUUAUUUUUAUGCCCUGGCCUUCUGGAGAAACAAAAGCGCUGGCCUUGGCUGCCAGACAUUUCCACCAUUGCUGUGUGGCCUCCGGCAAAUCACUGUGCAUUUCUGGGCCUCAGUUUUCUUCCCAGUUGGCUGAAGUUGCUAAGAGACACCUUGCUGUGUCUGAGAAGUGAAGAAAUUAACUGGCAAGAAAGUCACGGGAUAAAUCCCUGACCCCCAAUUAAAUGUUGUUUUCCUAA